GUAUCAGAAGUGCGAAUGCUGACAUGAGUAACGAUAAAGGGGGUGAAAAACCUCCUCGCCGGAAGACCAAGGGUUCCUGUCCAACGUUAAUCGGGGCAGGGUAAGUCGACCCCUAAGGCGAGGCCGAAAGGCGUAGUCGAUGGGAAACGGGUUAAUAUUCCCGUACUUCUUACAAUUGCGAUGGGGGGACGGAGAAGGCUAGGUGGGCCUGGCGACGGUUGUCCAGGUUCAAGUGCGUAGGCUUAAGAGUUAGGUAAAUCCGGCUCUUUUUAAGGCUGAGACACGACGUCGAGCACCUACGGGUGUGAAGUCAUUGAUGCCAUGCUUCCAGGAAAAGCCUCUAAGCUUCAGAUUGUAAGGAAUCGUACCCCAAACCGACACAGGUGGUCGGGUAGAGAAUACCAAGGCGCUUGAGAGAACUCGGGUGAAGGAACUAGGCAAAAUGGUACCGUAACUUCGGGAGAAGGUACGCUCUUGAUGGUGAAGUCCCUUGCGGAUGGAGCUGACGAGAGUCGCAGAUACCAGGUGGCUGCAACUGUUUAUUAAAAACACAGCACUGUGCAAAAUCGUAAGAUGACGUAUACGGUGUGACGCCUGCCCGGUGCCGGAAGGUUAAUUGAUGGGGUUAGACUUCGGUCGAAGCUCUUGAUCGAAGCCCCGGUAAACGGCGGCCGUAACUAUAACGGUCCUAAGGUAGCGAAAUUCCUUGUCGGGUAAGUUCCGACCUGCACGAAUGGCGUAAUGAUGGCCACGCUGUCUCCACCCGAGACUCAGUGAAAUUGAAAUCGCUGUGAAGAUGCAGUGUACCCGCGGCUAGACGGAAAGACCCCGUGAACCUUUACUACAGCUUGGCACUGAACAUUGACCCUACAUG
rnacentral:rRNA from 1 species